GAUCUUUAAACUACAAACUGAAAGGCAAUAUCUCAGCCUACAACCAACCCUGAACCCAAAUUAUCUCAGCCACAUAACCAUGAGGGAUCCAAAGUGCUUCCUGGUUCUCCUUGCGGAGAUGAUGUUGCGAAUCUCCCUGUCGAUUCCAUGGAAAAGCGCAGCAGUCGUGAGUGAAGUCUGGUUAUGGAUGAGGUUAUUACGCUGCUUCCAUAGGUGAUAAACGACAGCCUGAACUGCUAUCUUCCUGAGAAUAGAUAGCUUCUUUGAUGUUGAAGCUCUGAUCCACGACAGGAGCUCCGACCAGUUGGUGAACCUUGUAAGUGACGUCCUGCAUCUGAGUAGGACCUCCCUCCAAAUGUCUUGACUAUACUCGCAAGAGAGUAGUACGUGGUCUCUGGUUUCAUCCCCCCGGGAGCAGAAUGCGCAUAAGGGAGAGACAGGUAGGCCCCAUUCUGCAAGUCUUGCUCUCGUUGGGAGCUUGUCAUAAUUAGCAAUUCACAUGUUGAAGCUGUGCUUCGGUAUUGAUCCCUUGAACCAGACUAUAUCCACCCAGUCUUUGCUAUCUUGUCUCGGUCGUAGCGCUUCUCACGUAGCAGCAGACCUGAAAUCACGAGAAGGAUAAUCACCCACAACCCAUUCAUAUAUA
rnacentral:lncRNA from 1 species